UCCUCCGCUUAUUGAUAUGCUUAAGUUCAGCGGGUAUUCCUACCUGAUCCGAGGUCAACAUUCAGAAGUUGGGGGUUUAACGGCUUGGCCGCGCCGCGUUCCAGUUGCGAGGGUUUUACUACUACGCAAUGGAGGCUGCAGCGAGACCGCCACUAGAUUUCGGGGCCGGCUUGCCAGAAAGGCUCGCCGAUCCCCAACACCAAACCCGAGGGCUUGAGGGUUGAAAUGACGCUCGAACAGGCAUGCCCGCCAGAAUACUGGCGGGCGCAAUGUGCGUUCAAAGAUUCGAUGAUUCACUGAAUUCUGCAAUUCACAUUACUUAUCGCAUUUUGCUGCGUUCUUCAUCGAUGCCAGAACCAAGAGAUCCGUUGUUGAAAGUUUUGAUUUAUUUAUGGUUUUACUCAGAAGUUACAUAUAGAAACAGAGUUUAGGGGUCCUCUGGCGGGCCGUCCCGUUUUACCGGGAGCGGGCUGAUCCGCCGAGGCAACAGUAGGUAUGUUCACAGGGGUUUGGGAGUUGUAAACUCGGUAAUGAUCCCUCCGCAGGUUCACCUACGG
rnacentral:rRNA from 1 species